UGUUUCUCGGGUGGCGAGCGGCGGACGGGUGAGUAAUGCCUGGGAAAUUGCCCUGAUGUGGGGGAUAACCAUUGGAAACGAUGGCUAAUACCGCAUGAUAGCUUCGGCUCAAAGAGGGGGACCUUCGGGCCUCUCGCGUCAGGAUAUGCCCAGGUGGGAUUAGCUAGUUGGUGAGGUAAGGGCUCACCAAGGCGACGAUCCCUAGCUGGUCUGAGAGGAUGAUCAGCCACACUGGAACUGAGACACGGUCCAGACUCCUACGGGAGGCAGCAGUGGGGAAUAUUGCACAAUGGGCGCAAGCCUGAUGCAGCCAUGCCGCGUGUGUGAAGAAGGCCUUCGGGUUGUAAA
rnacentral:rRNA from 1 species